CCUACGGGAGGCAGCAGUGAGGAAUAUUGGUCAAUGGGCGGGAGCCUGAACCAGCCAAGUCGCGUGAGGGAAGACGGUCCUAUGGAUUGUAAACCUCUUUAGGCGGGGAGCAAUGCCGGGCACGCGUGCCCGGAGGGAGAGUACCCGCAGAAUAAGCAUCGGCUAACUCCGUGCCAGAAGCCGCGGUAAUACGGAGGAUGCGAGCGUUAUCCGGAUUUAUUGGGUUUAAAGGGUGCGUAGGCGGAUUUUUAAGUCAGCGGUAAAAUGUCCGGGCUCAACCCGGGCCGGCCGUUGAAACUGGCGUUCUUGAGUGGGCGAGAAGUAUGCGGAAUGCGUGGUGUAGCGGUGAAAUGCAUAAAUAUCACGCAGAACUCCGAUUUCGAAGGCAGCAUACCGGCGCCCAACUGACGCUGAAGCACGAAAGCGUGGGUAUCGAACAGGAUUAGAUACCCCAGUAGUC
rnacentral:rRNA from 1 species